rnacentral:rRNA from 1 species
AACGAACGCUGGCGGCAUGCCUAACACAUGCAAGUCGAACGAGAUCUUCGGGUCUAGUGGCGCACGGGUGCGUAACGCGUGGGAAUCUACCCUUUGGUUCGGAAUAACAGUUGGAAACGACUGCUAAUACCGGAUGAUGACGAAAGUCCAAAGAUUUAUCGCCAGAGGAUGAGCCCGCGUAGGAUUAGCUAGUUGGGGUGGUAAAGGCGCACCAAGGCGACGAUCCUUAGCUGGUCUGAGAGGAUGAUCAGCCACACUGGGACUGAGACACGGCCCAGACUACUACGGGAGGCAGCAGUGGGGAAUAUUGGACAAUGGGCGAAAGCCUGAUCCAGCAGUGCCGCGUGAGUGAUGAAGGCCUUAGGGUUGUAAAGCUCUUUUACCCGGGAUGAUAAUGACAGUACCGGGAGAAUAAGUUCCGGCUAACUCCGUGCCAGCAGCCGCCGUAA